UAUAUAGAAAAGCUUUAAGUUGAUAUGUUGUAUCAGGUGUUCUUGUAAUUACUAUGAAAAAAUAAGAAAAUAUUUUCAUUUGGGAUAUCUGCUUAUCUGAUAUCUAAAACAGUUUAUGUUUGGGAAACCAAUAUAUAUUGAAACACUGUAUACCAUAAAGUACAUGUUCUUAAAACUUUCUGCAUUUUGAAAUAUUUAAAACUCAUAUUAAAGUAGAAUAGUAUCAUGAACUGCCAUGUACUCAUCACAUAGAUAUAAAAAUUAUUAUUUUUUACUGUUCUUAAAGGUAUAAAAUUUGAAAUAUUUGUUUAUUGACAUAAACUUGAACCCUUCUUGAAUUCUGUGUUGCUUUGAAAAUUUUUAAAUCUUAUGUUAAGAACAGAUUCAAUGUAGACUUAAAUUAAUGCUUAUGUUGAGGGCAAAAUAUUUAAAAGUGAUUAUCUUCAUAUUGUUUCAGCAUUAAAUUAGGAAGGUUGUUUUCACUUGCUGGUUAAGUCUUUUGUUUAGUAAUUUCAGCCUCCUGGUUUUGAAAUGUGAUAAAAAAGUAGCAAGCACAGACAGAAGCUCUUGUUUGCAGGAUGCAGAAAGAAAACUGUCUUGAGAUAUACUUCUCAGAUGUGAAAUGGAAUUAAUCUUUUGUUUGUCAUUGUUUUAACUUUUUUGGGUAGGUAUGGGUAAAUAGUUAAAAUCAUUUUGUAAGUUGAUAAAGGAAAAGAGCCUACUGUCUUCUGGUAUGGUUCCUUCAAAGUUAGCUGCUCAGUUAGUGGGACAUAUUUUAAGUUGUUUAUAGUAGAAUAUAAAGGAAGAGACACACAAAGGCUAGUGUACUAAUAAUUUGUGAUAGCAUUGAAAGCUGUUUAAUAUUUUCUUAUUUAUUAUCUUCAGUAAUGAGGAGAUUCCCUAAUUUUUUUUUAUCGUACUGAGGCCAGAUAGAAGGAAGCACAUUUCUAAUUUUGCUAAGUCUAUAGCAAACAACAACAAAAACAAAAAACACCUUAAACAUUGUUUAUGUUGAAAACUAUUAUGAAAUGAACUAAUGUGUAUAAUAAAAUAAUAAUUAAUGGCAUUUGAAUAUACAACACAAUGUAGAUCUAAAUCUCUUGAUUUAAAAUAUUAUAUUGUUAGAAACUGAAUGACAGCAUGAAAAAAUAAAUACAUUAAAUAAGGUCUCUAUUUUUAAUUUGUGUAUAACUUUAAUUACUAAAUUUCUGUGUGAUCCAGUGUGCAUUAGAAAUGUACAAGAUUUUGUAGCAGUCUUAAAUAUUUCUAUUCCAGGAUAACUAUCCAGACUGAAUAAUAAAGUGAUGUGCAAUAACUAAAACUAUGCUCUAAUUAAAUGAUUUUAUCCCAUAACUAACUACCAUUUCUUUUCUCAAAGGGCUAUAUUUAAUUCUUUUUGCCAUUAGGAAAUACCUAUGCUAAGUGAUCCUGGAUAUUAGAUUUUCAUGCUUUUCAGAAGUAGAUGGAAGAUGUAGUAUAAGAAGAAAACACCAGUACAAUGUUUAAUAAGUCAGUAUUGAACCAAACAUAAAUGUAACCCUGCAAAAAAAAUCAUUAAAUAUAUAUGCUAAUUUCAGUAAUAUUUGUAGUACAUUUUGUUAUGAAUGUAAUGCAAUAUCAAUUUCAACAUUAUAACAACUUUCUAUGCUUUCAGAUUCCUUAUACUUAAAAUCAAAAUCAAAUUGUUAUUAUUUUUUUCUUUCUUUCCUUUUAUUUUUGUAGCAGGGAUGGAACCUAGGGGUGCUUUACCACUGAGCUACAUCUCCAGUUCUUCUUGUUUUUUAUUUUGAGACAGG
rnacentral:lncRNA from 1 species